rfam:Prevotella ruminicola 23, complete genome.
GGGGAGAGACUUAGAAUCCCCGUGAAAUGUUGUGUGAAUAGCGGUGUCUUUGGCCGGGCAUGGCGGUUCGUGAAUC